rnacentral:rRNA from 1 species
UGAGGAAUAUUGGUCAAUGGACGAGAGUCUGAACCAGCCAAGUAGCGUGAAGGAUGACUGCCCUAUGGGUUGUAAACUUCUUUUAUACGGGAAUAAAGUUAGCCACGUGUGGCUUUUUGUAUGUACCGUAUGAAUAAGGAUCGGCUAACUCCGUGCCAGCAGCCGCGGUAAUACGGAGGAUCCGAGCGUUAUCCGGAUUUAUUGGGUUUAAAGGGAGCGUAGGCGGGUUGUUAAGUCAGUUGUGAAAGUUUGCGGCUCAACCGUAAAAUUGCAGUUGAUACUGGCGACCUUGAGUGCAACAGAGGUAGGCGGAAUUCGUGGUGUAGCGGUGAAAUGCUUAGAUAUCACGAAGAACUCCGAUUGCGAAGGCAGCUUACUGGAUUGUAACUGACGCUGAUGCUCGAAAGUGUGGGUAUCAAACAGGAUUAGAUACCCUGGUAGUCCACGCAGUAAACGAUGAUUACUAGGAGUUUGCGAUACAAUGUAAGCUCUACAGCGAAAGCGUUAAGUAAUCCACCUGGGGAGUACGCCGGCAACGGUGAAACUCAAAGGAAUUGACGGGGGCCCGCACAAGCGGAGGAACAUGUGGUUUAAUUCGAUGAUACGCGAGGAACCUUACCCGGGUUUGAACGUAGUCUGACCGGAGUGGAAACACUUUUUCUAGCAAUAGCAGAUUACGAGGUGCUGCAUGGUUGUCGUCAGCUCGUGCCGUGAGGUGUCGGCUUAAGUGCCAUAACGAGCGCAACCCUUAUCACUAGUUACUAACAGGUGAAGCUGAGGACUCUGGUGAGACUGCCAGCGUAAGCUGUGAGGAAGGUGGGGAUGACGUCAAAUCAGCACGGCCCUUACAUCCGGGGCGACACACGUGUUACAAUGGCAUGGACAAAGGGCAGCUACCUGGCGACAGGAUGCUAAUCUCCAAACCAUGUCUCAGUUCGGAUCGGAGUCUGCAACUCGACUCCGUGAAGCUGGAUUCGCUAGUAAUCGCGCAUCAGCCAUGGCGCGGUGAAUACGUUCCC